CCUGACGCGGGAGCAAUUAACAGCUCUCUAAAAUAAAAACAGAGAGAGAGAGAGGGGAGGCAGACGCUCCUACGUGUCUUCUCUCUGUUUUUUUUUUUUUAUCGUCUUCUCUCUCUCUCCACUCUCUCUCUCUAGAGGAUAGGUAGUUUUCGGUUCAGAUUUGGGAAUGGUUUCGGUUCAGUUGAUGAAAUUAGGGUUUUGAUGGUUGGUUUCUGUUGCUGAUUAGAUGACUUAUACUUGGAGGACGAAAUUCAGAAUGCCGAACCUUGAGCGGCGCAACAAGGCGGUGGGGAAGGGUAUUGAUUACUCAGCAGAAGAGAAAGAGGGGGUUUCGGGCAACAGGUCGGCAUUUGCAACUGGAUAAAUAUAGUAUGUACAAAGUGGCAAUUUAUUCUGUUGUUUCAUGGAGUAUGAUGUAUAUUGUGACUCUCUUACUCUUGUCUUUUUUUUACAAGUAAAUAAUUGUAUUAGAAAAUACUCUCUUACUCUCGUCGAGGUAUCAAAAAUCACUGUUUUUAAGUAGAACAUGUAGCUUGUUAAGAUGUGAAGCUGAUUGUGUGUUUUGCAGAGUAUUGCAGAGUAACAUAUUAUUUCAUAUUUCAUGUUUCACAUAUCUUUUGAACCAAGCGUGUAUAGUAGAUGAUUCAAGUACCUCCAGAUAAUCUCGUCUGACCCUCCCACGUCCCAACACCCCUACCUUAGGCUGUAUUUGAAAUUUUGAAUCAAGGAUUUCUGUAAAGACUUAGGAUUCCUUGGUUUCCACUUUCCCUAUUAUUUCUGUUUGUAUCAUAAAUUUCUCCACAAAUCCAUGAUUUAUAGUAGGCGUUCACAGCCUUAGUGUUAGGGCUGCUGUAUUUGUUUAUUGUGAAACUAACUGCAGUAAUUCUUAUAAGUCCCCUGCAACUUCAAAAUUGCAGAAAAUAAACAGUGCGUCUGUACCUUAUUCGAAUGUUUUAUUUCUGCCUGCUAGAACUGACACAUAGUACAGAUGUGUUGCUGGAGAAAGUAAAUAAAAUCUAUUCCUGUGAUUUUGCAGCAUUCUGUUAUAAUGCAGCAUUUCAUUUGUUAUAUUGCUUUCUGUUUUGGUGGAUCAGUUUUGGCAUUUUUCUUCAAUGCCGCCUCAUCCGAACUUUUUCGAACUAAGCUAUUUGAGUGCUGGUGUUCAUAAUGGAGGAUGUGCACUAAUCUCAUUUGAAUUACUUUGUUGGUCUAUUGACUCUAUUGCCAUGCUUGUUGGUCCAUUGACUCUAUUGCCAUGCUUUACAUGUGUAGCUCAGGGUCGAAGAAAUCCCAUUUAUGACCUCAUGAACGGGUAGGAGUAUAGAAUGGGUAAAAAAAAAAAAUUCAACUGAAAACCGUCAUUUGAUCAUUGUUUCUUUAUUGAAUAUAUCUUAGUUACACGAAGCGAGAGCGACAGUGGGAGUGAGAGAGGAAUAGAAGAUUCAAAGAUUAGGAGUUCGUGUCUAAGUGUGUGUUAAUUCUAGAGUCUAGACUUCUAGCAUAUAUGGCAAAACAUGAGUAUGUUACAGUGAUCUGUCAGCCGCAAAUGCUUUGGUAAUAUAGGUAAAUGUUAUGUACGAACUACUAGAGUAAACUCAAGGUAAUUUGUUUUGUAGUAUGUUAUCGUUGUGCUGCUGAUGUUCUCUGCCUUGGUGGCUCUCUUUUUUUCCUUUUUAGUUUCGUUUGGAAUUUUUAUGCUUGAUAGUCAGAUCAAGAUAAAUGAAAGGGAUGUCCUCUUUCGAGUGUGUAGCUGGUACGAGCCCCCUUCCCACAUGUAUGCGGUCCCACUAUGGAAAGAUGAAAUAAGAUUUUCUUGUCUUUAUUCGAGCGGAUUGGUGAGGAAAGCAACUAGGUGUCCUUGUUGGAAACCGAUUCUUUCUCAAUGGGAAUGAGAUUCUCGGGCGAUCCUUACUUGGGAGUGUGGGAAACAGAUUCUAGAGGGGAUUCGUCACGCAUAGUCGAAGGAUUUUGCAACCAUGGAAUUGAUUAUCAUAUUAUCGAGCUAUUCUGGAAAGUAGAGGCUGUAGUUUGCGGUUUAUGUUGGCACUCCAGACAAGAUAGAAUAUGUGUCUAAGUUAUUCCUGACAAAUCUAUAAGGAAGACGAGGAUUAAGCUAGUUUGACGAGAUGUACGCCUGACUCCUAAAGGUUUGUGUCAUGUUUCUGUGUUAAAGAUGCUUAUGAAUAUUUAAAUUUUUUGGUGCCAUCAGGAUUUUCUCAUCAAGUAUUAUCAAGAAUCAAGAUUCCCCUAUUUGGAUUGUAUAUGCAUGUAGACAGCAGAAACUGGUUUAAGAGGAUGGGACAUACAUAAUGGUCUACGGAAUUAUCUUGUGGUUACUUGUUGGUUCUUAUCUUCUACUUUUUACUUGGUCCACUUCUGAGGGUGUUUAGGACUGUUUGAUGGAAGCCAUCCACAGAUAAUACAUGCAAGUUUGGGACCAGUGUUUGUUGUUUCUGGCUGUUAUGCUGCAUUCGUAUCUUUUCCGUUUUGGUUGAUUUCUUAGGAAAACUAGAAGAAUAUUAAUUAGCAAUUGUGAAUCAAGAAGCCCAUUUUUAUUUGUUAUGUUAACCACAAAAUUUGUUUUUUUUACCCAAUGUUAACAUUGCCAUUACAUCUUGUUUUGCCUUUAAAUUCAGGAUCUAUAUAUAGCGUUUAGGUUUAGGUGUUUGUAGCUCACAAAUGUAAGAUGCUCAUAUAUUUUCACAGCACGUAAGGUAUCUCUUUAAUUUAUCUAUUAGUACGUUAUAAUUAGUAUGAACCGGUCCAACCGGAUAUUGUAAACAGGUUAUAUGUAUGACCCAAACAGAACAGCUGGGAAUUUGGAGCCAGACAAAGCCCCAUUUGCAAUUUUCGUAGUAAUAUUUCCCGGAAAAUAGUUUCUGCAUUUUUGCAAUGUUCGGUGUAGUCAUAAAACCUUCAUUAAUGGUAGAUCCAAAAGUAUGGUAGAAGUAUUUUGUUUGACGUAGAUGAAACUCAAAAUACUGGUGUACCAUGAAAAGAACUUCUUCAUCAAGACACUAAAGGGCAUCUAACAGGUAAUGCUCUACUUGGUUAAAACUCAAGCGCAAGUUGUUAUGGGAGUCUUAUACACUUAUAUAUGCAUCUGUCUUUUCUUACAGCAUUGCGAUGCAGUAAGAAGAGGGUUAGAGCUGUGAUUCAUACAGAAUUGCCUUUGCUAAUGUCUAGGGAAAUCUCAUCUAACCAAGAAAAUAAUCCGUUACGAAAGCUUCUGCUGCUGGAUGCUCUGACAAUGCAAAUGCUGAUGCGCAUCAAGCUAGGUGGAGUGAUCUGUUUGAUCAGAUGGAAAAAUCCCUUUCUGACGAAGAGAAGCGAUUGAAUUGGAAGAUUAAAACAAAAUUCGCAGCAAUUCUUUUUGAUUGUGCAUUGGCAGCAAGUGGAAUCAAUGAAUGAAGUAUUCAACGAAACAAAGAAGUAGAACGAGGAAAUUAAGGGAGUGAUAGCAUAAAAGAAUUCGAAAGAAUAUCACCCCAAUAUAAGAGAAUCCAAUGCAGGAGGUAUUCGCCUAUUUUUCAAGCUUUAUCUUUGUUUUUUCCUCUUUUCAUCACUAAGGUAUAAGUACUCUUGAAUAUGCUGGCUCAUUGUCUUUUCAUCACUAUGUAUAUGUUCAUAUAGCACCGUUAUGUAUGUAUAUAUGGUGUUACUUGGCUCCUUUUAAGUAGGGGAAUGGCAAAAAAAAAAAAAGCAAAGGGGAAAAAUAUCUUUUCAAUUGAAGAAUUUUAUAGAAACAUGAGAGUUCUUGCUUUUGAGUCAUUGCUAAGUCGAGCCUUUGAUGUGGAGGCUUCUAAUGCUCAAAAUGGUCGGCCGGCCUUGGCUUAGCAAAGCAGGCCAUAACCCAACUCUUGGGAGUAGGCUAGAUUGAUACUGGGCGCUUGGCGGUAAAAAAAGAGAGUAAAAAGUUCAAGAAUUGAUGUCAGAAUUUUUCAUUCGUAAGAUGUCAUUAUGAGUUUCAUCCAUGAAGAAAUAGGAAUUCCUACCCAUUCUCAACUUUAAGUUUCUUGCAAAAACAAAAGAAAAUUGGGAGAAAAAGUACAAUUUAUAUUUCAAAUUCAUCCAUUUUCCCCGCAAAUCUACUUGGAUCGACUGUUGAAACUUUACAAAAUCAUUUCAUGAUCAAUAUGAUGUUUGUGAGCAUUUGAGGAUUCGAUGAGAAAAAGGAUGGAGCAGGAUAGGAGAGGAAGCCAUGCAUCAUUUGAAAGGCACAAUGGUGAGACGAAAGCUGAAGGGGUAAUUCAACAAAAAGAAGAAGUCUAGAAGCCAAGGCAAAUACAUGGGAGAAAUCAGCCAUGGCUAAGCUCGUAAAAUGAAUUUGAAGAAGGAGAGGCCUCAAUUUGGAAUGGGAGUUAGAGGCAGACAUGCUCGUAGCAUUCAGUGAGGAUCUUCAACUAUGCAUGAAGGCUGUAUGGGCUCUUUAUCGGAAUCAGAUUGCUGAUGAAAAGAUUGGCAAGUUCGCGUAGAUCUCCAAUCAGCAAGUGUUUAGCCAAUGUGAUGCCCUCAGGACCAAAACCUUGCGAGUUAUAUGGGAAGUAUACACAGAAGAUAGACAGAUAAACAAGAGAGAACUUCGCAGUAAUGCAUUUGAGGUUGGUAGCUACAAAUGGAUGGAGUCAUUUUGCACUGUUCACUAUUGCAGUGGUGAAUAAAGAUCCGAAGAAAUUCAAAUAUUCUGGUUGGUUGGCUACAUGUUGGGAGUUCUGUUGUAAUGGAGUUUCUGGUUCUACUUAGUUUAGUAUUAAAGCAUUAUAAGUGAAUUCUAUAGAUACAUUGCAUCAAUUCUUGCAGAAAGAGCGUGAUUGGGGUUGGAAAAGGUUUAUGGAGCUAUCUAAAGUGUUGGAUGGGUUUAUUGAUGCUGAUACUUUCAUUAGCUCAAGUCCAAGUUAUCAGGGAGAGAGCUUGUUAACCUAUACUGACAAUCAAGGCAAUGGAAGAAUGGAACCUGUAGGAGAGAACUUGUUCCAGAUAUUUGACAAAUGUAGAGAUGCUUUGUCGCUGUUUUGUGGAAGAUGGAAGAAGCAAGCUCGGGAACUUGAUUGAAGAUAAAGCUAGAUGGUCAAGGUUUACGCCGUCAGUGAAUUCAAUUAUCUACCAUGGCAGUAAGAAAGGAAGGGAUGAGAUAAGGAGGAAGGUCAUGCCGAGAACAACUCCCAAAUUCCGCAUCGUAGGUACUUCAUAUGAGUUUGCAUUCUCUGAUGCCCGGAACAACAACUCCCAAACACUUGAGGCACUAUAACUGGAAAUAUAUUGUGGUAGAUGA